AUGAGUUGCAGCUUGGUGUACCAAACAGGCUUGGCACUUCCUGCAGUGGACGGUGCAAUGCAGAAUUAUUAUUUUUUGGGACUUCUAGGGACUUGGGCUUCUGUUCUCCGAGACGAGCCGGAUUCCAAGCUGGAGAAGCUAAUCCAACAGGGAAGAGAAGAUGCCAAUAAAUUCACCGAAACAUUGUUUGGGAAACUCACCAUCGUUGACAGAACAGAGGAGGGCCGGGAGAUUUCGAAAUUUCUUGAGUAUGUCUAUAGGAAUUUCAGCAGGCGCUUGGAUACCCUGGGGAAAGAGUUACCUGAUGAGGUUGUGAAAGCUGUUGAUCUGGUUUUGGGGGUGCCAUACCAGGUUGCGGAAAAGGCUAUCACUGCCCUGUUUGACCUGCAGAGACAUAGAAGGCAUAACUUAGAAGCAUUGCAAUCUGCCCUGGCGGGUUACGUGGACCCCGUCCUGGAGAGGGUGGGUCCGUACGCAGCAACCGUGCGCAGUGCCGUCGUUGCCAGAGCUCAGGAGAUCAACCGUGAGAUAGAUGAGAAGCUGCCGCAGCAAGUGCAAGCUCUGAGAACCCAGCUGGAUCCAGACAUUAAGAAGCUGCGAGAAUUGCAGGCAACCCUUCAGCCUUAUCUUGAUCACAUCCAGCAGCUGAUCAGAAAAGGAGCGGAGACGAUCCACAAGCACUUACUGAAGCCGUACGUUGAUCCCAUUGUGCAGUUGCACCAAAAGUACAAAAAGGACUUUAGGGCAUGGGCUAGAGCCCCAGUGUUUUUCCCAAAUCCAUGAUUAUUUCUCUCACAUGUAUACGAGGAAGGAAUCUCCCCCAGCAUCUAAAGAGAGAUCAGAAGGAAAAAGCUUACAUUGGUUUUUGUGUCUUCAUGACCUUGGCUGGGAGGUAGGGCAGGUGUGCAAGUCUUCUCCAGACGGGAUAAUAAAGGAGACGUUCCUAACAACCUCUGUUCGAUGCGUGGCCUGUUUCUCUUUAACCCUCCUCCUUCUGUUGGCUGUUGGAAAUACAUCUUCUUCACACAAGCAAAAGUGAAGCGCUCUCAAUACACCUGUAAGCCAACACGUGGGUUAUGUUGUGCACAUAAUAUAUUAUAAUAAUAAUUUAUUAUUUAUACCCCGCCCAUCUGGCUUGACUACCCCAGCCACUCUGGGCAGCUUCCAACAAAAUAUUAAACUACAGUAAUGCAUCAAACAUUAAAAGCUUCCCUAAACAGGGCUGCCUUCAGGAGGAGUCCCUUUCGCUUUCCCUACCCUUAAGCUGCUCCUUGAGUUUCAG
rnacentral:lncRNA from 1 species